rnacentral:rRNA from 1 species
GAUGAACGCUGGCGGCGUGCCUAAUACAUGCAAGUCGAGCGAACAGACGAGGAGCUUGCUCCUUUGAUGUUAGCGGCGGACGGGUGAGUAACACGUAGGUAACCUACCUAUAAGACUGGGAUAACUUCGGGAAACCGGAGCUAAUACCGGAUAAUAUUUCGAACCGCAUGGUUCGAUAGUGAAAUAUGGCUUUGCUAUCACUUAUAGCUGGACCUGCGCCGUAUUAGCUAGUUGGUAAGGUAACGGCUUACCAAGGCAACGAUACGUAGCCGACCUGAGAGGGUGAUCGGCCACACUGGAACUGAGACACGGUCCAGACUCCUACGGGAGGCAGCAGUAGGGAAUCUUCCGCAAUGGGCGAAAGCCUGACGGAGCAACGCCGCGUGAGUGAUGAAGGUCUUCGGAUCGUAAAACUCUGUUAUUAGGGAAGAACAAACGUGUAAGUAACUGUGCACGUCUUGACGGUACCUAAUCAGAAAGCCACGGCUAACUACGUG